CCUACGGGAGGCAGCAGUGGGGAAUUUUGCGCAAUGACCGUAAGGUUGACGCAGCAACGCCGCGUGUAUGAUGAAGGCUUUCGGGUCGUAAAGUACUUUCAGCAGGGAAGAAUGGUAAGGGGAGUAACUGCCCUUUAAUUGACGGUACCUGCAGAAGCAGCCCCGGCUAACUCCGUGCCAGCAGCCGCGGUAAUA
rnacentral:rRNA from 1 species